CCAUGUGGAUGUUUGUGAGCCUCGGU
rnacentral:piRNA from 1 species